AGUGAACGCUGGCGGUAGGCCUAACACAUGCAAGUCGAACGGUAGCACAGUAAGAGCUUGCUCUUACUGGUGGCGAGUUGCGUACUGGUUAGGAAUACAUCGGAAUCUACUUUUUCGUUGGUGAUAACGUAAGGAAAUUUACCCUAAUACCUCUUACUGCCUACGGGUGAAAGCGGGGAACUUCGCACUUUGCGCGGUUGAUUUCUCCGAUGUCGGAUUAGGUAGUUGGCGGGGUAAAGGCCCACCAAGGCUACGAUCCGUAGCUGGUCUGAGAGGAUGAUCAGCCACACUGGAACUGAGACACGGUCCAGACUCCUACGGGAGGCAGCAGUGGGGAAUAUUGGACAAUGGGCGCAAGCCUGAUCCAGCAAUACCGCGUGGGUGAAGAAGGCCUUCGGGUUGUAAAGCCCUUUUGUUGGGAAAGAAAAGCAGCAGGUUAAUACCCCGCUGUAAUGACGGUACCCAAAGAAUAAGCACCGGCUAACUUCGUG
rnacentral:rRNA from 1 species